rnacentral:rRNA from 1 species
UACGUAGGGUGCGAGCGUUGUCCGGAAUUAUUGGGCGUAAAGAGCUCGUAGGCGGUCUGUCGCGUCGGUCGUGAAAACUUGGGGCUUAACCCUGAGCUUGCGGUCGAUACGGGCAUGACUGGAGUUCGGCAGGGGAGACUGGAAUUCCUGGUGUAGCGGUGAAAUGCGCAGAUAUCAGGAAGAACACCCGUGGCGAAGGCGGCUCUCUGGGACGGUACUGACGCUGAGACGCGAAAGCGUGGGGAGCGAACAGG